AUUUAUUUCAAAUUCAACGGAUUCUGUUUCUGUCCGGAGAUACUUAGGGGCUUCUUUCAUUUGCAGAAUGACUUGAAUCUAUGAAUACCCAGCAUUAAUAAAACAAAAAUCAUAGUGGUUGGAUAGUUAAAGACGGAGAUGGCAAACUUGAGAAAAAAACAGAGCAUAGCCGUGACUUGUGGUAAAAUAACUUCUUCACUCAACCUAUAAUGAAUGUUGUAACUGUAAUAAGCACAGUAACACACAGAUGCUAUGAAGUGUGCUCAGAUCUAAGUGGAGCAAACAGCUUUGCUGUAGCGCAGGUUCCUCCAAAAAAUUCAUUUCCCUGUUUUACCAGCUACGAUGGAUUUACUGGAAUAUUACGGUGACUGAAUAGAGCACUGGAGAAAAGGUGAGAUGGCUGUCAAAGUUAAUAAGAAGAAAAGGAAAAUCUGAGGGUCUCACGUAAGAAAAAAUGACAUUUAAACAUGAUCAACAACAAGCGUAAGGAAUGAUAGACUACACUUCUGCCUACCCCUUAGCCUGGGGUACCUGGACUUCUUUAGCUCUCUCUCAUACUGCCUGCCCAUCCAAUUGCCUUUUGAAUAUAUGACUGCUAUGGUUGUCUUGCUCUUAGAUAAAUUUUCAGGCACAGAAAAGCUCAAAUGUGUGAGAAGGCUGUAAUUAGAGAGUAUAUCAAAAAACCUAUGUUUUUGCCACAGAAUCAUGCUCCAAAAAGUAAGUUCUUACAUAUGUGCCACAUGCAUGUUCACAGCCUUUUUACUUCUUAACAAUCCUUCUUCCUCAUCUAGUUGUGAAGGAAAAAUAUUAAGAAUAUGAAACAAAUGUGUACUGAUAUGAUAGUAUGUUCAAAUAUUCAAAAUACUGUUGGAG
rnacentral:lncRNA from 1 species